rnacentral:lncRNA from 10 species
GGGGGUGUUGGGGACAGGGGUGUCCAGGAGGGAGUUGGAUACACAGGACAGAUGGCCCUAGUGGGUCACCGGCUGGGGUUAGCUCCCCAGAAGUGGGAGAUCUGGGGAAGGUUGGUUCCGGGGUGUGGCGCCAGUAAGUUGGAGGAGGCAUGGAGGGAGCGUCCCGCUCUUCCAGUAUUUAACAGAAGGGACAGAGGGAAGAGGGGCAGCAGGGGAGCACUGGACAUGUGUGUCCGGAUUAGCUCAGCAACCCCCUGGGUUGCCCGUCAGUGCCGCAGGCCCCGUCCCUGCCUUGGAGGGCUCCCAGACAGUGGGAGGGACAGGCAGUGGGAGGGACAGGCAGUGGGGGGACAGACGCACGCGAAGGUACCGAUGAGGUUCUUGCACUCCAUGCCCCGGGCGUGGCAGUCCUGCUGACCAUCUGCACACUCGUCCACAUCUUCGGAUGACCAGAGACAGAUGGUCAGUCAAGGCCAGGCACCCUAUGGCUGUGGGGACCUGGAUUCCACCCUGCGUCAGCCCUGUGGGACCUGAGUGAGUUCCCUGCAGACCCUGUCAAAUGUCUAUCCCUCUUAGGAAGGGAGCCCCCAGCUCCUGCCCAGCCCCAGCCUCCAAGAAGCUGAGGGAAUCAGGAAUUGUCCCCCAAAGCUUGCAUCCCCUGCCCAUGUCAGGGUCUGUGAGUCUGCUCAUGGCCCCUGGAACACUGACCCUGAAACAGCCCCAGAGACACUGAGUCCCAGACCAGGGUCUCCCACGCUUGACACUAUGAACAUUUGGGAUAGGAAAGUUCUUUGCGGUGGGCGGCUGUUCUGUGUGCAUUGCAGGAUUUUUUUUUUUUUUUUUUUUUUUUUGAGGCGGAGUUUUGCUCUUGUCGCCCAGGCUGGAGUGCAGUGGCAUGAUCUCGGCUCACUGCAACCUCCGCCUCCCAGGUUCAAGCGAUUCUCCUGUCUCUCAGCCUCCCAAGUAGCUGGGAUUACAGGCGUGUGCCACCAUGCCCAGCUAAUUUUGUAUUUUUAGUAG